UAACUGGGAACUCUUCCCCUGAAGACACCUGGUUAAUUCACUUGCAACCUGUUUCCAGAUUUGCCAGCAGGACAGCUCUUGAUUUGAAAGAGAUGGAGUCUCACUAUGUUGCCCAGGUUGGUCUGGAACUCUUCAGCUCAAGUGAUCCUCUCACUUCAGCCUCCCAUGUAGCCAGGAUUACAGGGUUUUGCAACUGCAGCACUACUAUUUUGGACUGGCCAAUUCUCUGUUGGGGGCACUGUCCUGUGCACUGUAGGAGAUUUUGCAGAAUUCCUGGAUACUACCCACAAAAUGCCAAUAGCACCCCUCUGUCAGGUGUGACAACCAUUUCCAGACAUUGCCAAAUAUCUUCUGGGGGCGAAAUCACCCAUGGUUGAGAACCAGCAAUUUAAAAGGACAGAAUUUUGCCUGAGCAGAAAGACCAGAAAAACCUAUCCUGUUUUCCCAGGGAUUAGAAAACCUUUUGUCUUCAAGAGCAAAGAACCAUUUUAAAAGGUCCAAACCCUUAAACACCUGAGAGCAAAGAGAUUCUCAAGGGAACUGAAGUUCAGGGUCAGAGAGUGCCUGUCCUCACCCACUGCAACCAGGUUCUUGAAGUUCUCCACCAUGACAUCUCGGUACAGCUUCCUCUGGGUAAGAUCGAGCAGUCGCAGUUCCUCCCUGGAGAAGACCACAGCCACAUCCUUGAAUGUCACAGCCUCCUACAAUAUCAAACACAUGUAACCUCAAUCUUACAACCAACCUUCACUAGAAGAAGGGUGGCAUCAAGAAGGAAAAGAGCACCACAAAAAAGUUGUUAUAGAUUCCAAGAGAUCUCAGUCAAUUUUCAGCUGUUACAGUUUUCCCUGUCUCACUAUCUCCUACGCUCAUCCCCAUAAAGCCUGUAGUUUAUCACUGUUUUUUGUUUUUUUCUUUUUUGAGAUGGAGUCUCACUCUGUCACCCGUGCUGGAGCAGUGGCGCAAUCUCUGCUCACUGCAACCUCCGCCUCCCGGGUUCAAGAGAUUCUCCUGCCUUAGCCUCCCAAGUAGGUGGGAUUACAGGCGUCUACUACCAUGCCCGGCUAAUUUUUGUAUUUAUUUAGUAGAGACGGGGUUUCACCAUGUUGGCCAGGCUGGUCUCAAACUCCUGACCUCCAAUGAUCUGCCCGCCUUGGCCUCCCAAAGUGCUGUGAUUAUAGGUGUGAGCCACUGAGCCUGGCCCUAUCAUUGUUUUUAACGUUUGCAAAGUUCACAGGCCUUCAGCAACCCCCUGGACAGGUAUAUAGCUCUUCCUGUGCUUUCAAGGCACAUGUCACAUCCACCUACUACAGGAUGCACAGCUGCUUAAUUUAAAGCACUGGCUCUGGAGUCUGGCCAGGUUCAAAUUUCAAGGUUUUGCCUUUUACUAGUUAUAGGACCUUGGGCAAAUUCCUUAAUCUCUCACUAACUGAAUUUCCUCUUCUUUAUCAUUGUAUCUAAAUUAUAAGGUGUAUGAGCCUGACACAGAAGGAUCACUUCAGCCCAGGAGUUUGACGGUGCAGUGAGCCAUGAUUGUGCCACUGCACUUCAGCCUGGGCAACAGAGUGAGACCCUGUCUCAAUUUUUAAAAAUAAAUUUUCAGGCUAGGCACAGUGGCUCACACCUGUAAUGCCAGCACUUUGGGAGGCCGAGGCGGGCAAAUCACUUGAGGCCAGGAGUUUGAGACCAGCCUGGCUAAGAUGCUGAAACCCCGUCUCUACUAAAAAUACAAAAAAAUUAGCCAGGCGUGGUGAUGUGCGUCUGUAAUCCCAGCUACUCAGGAGGCUGAGGCAGGAGAAUCACUUGAACCUGGGAAGCGGAGGUUGCAGUGAGCCAAGAUGGCGCCACUGCACUCCAGCCUGGGUGACAGGGGUGAGACACUGUCUUAAAAUAAAUAAAUUUUUAGAAUUAAAAUAAAUAGAUCAUAAAGUGUUUGAAAGGAUCAGAUGAAUGAAUAUAUGUCAAGCACUUAGAAGUGCCUAGCACACCAUACAUGCUCAAUAAACUCGAACAACGCA